GGGUGUAGUCCAUGCUACAGCAGUCGCUUCCAAAUUCGUGACCAUCACGCACUUCCUUAGAGGCAUGUCUUAAUCUCUGACUGGCUCCUUCAGUCUACUUAGAACUUUAUCGAGCUCUCUAGUGGAUAUGACAGUUGGAUAUCCUAGUCAGACCGGCAUAGGCAUUGACAAAGAUUUUGGUAAUAGGUUGGAUCAGAAAAGCUAAUAUACUUUACCCCG
rnacentral:lncRNA from 1 species